UACGGGGGGGGGCAAGCGUUGUUCGGAAUUACUGGGCGUAAAGGGCGUGUAGGCGGCCAACUAAGUCCGACGUGAAAUCCCCAGGCUUAACCUGGGAACUGCGUCGGAUACUGGAUGGCUUGAAUUCGGGAGAGGGAUGCAGAAUUCCAGGGUGUAGCGGUGAAAUGCGUAGAUAUCUGGAGGAAUACCGGUGGCGAAGGCGGCAUCCUGGACCGACAUUGACGCUGAAGCGCGAAAGCUAGGGGAGCAAACGGGG
rnacentral:rRNA from 1 species